UUGAGGUGUUCAGUUCAGUGG
rnacentral:misc_RNA from 1 species